rnacentral:rRNA from 1 species
AUUGAACGCUGGCGGCAGGCCUAACACAUGCAAGUCGAGCGGGGUUUUCGGACCUAGCGGCGGACGGGUGAGUAAUGCGUAGGAAGCUGCCCGAUAGAGGGGGAUACCAGUUGGAAACGACUGUUAAUACCGCAUAAUGUCUACGGACCAAAGUGUGGGACCUUUGGGCCACAUGCUGUCGGAUGCGCCUACGUGGGAUUAGCUAGUUGGUGAGGUAAUGGCUCACCAAGGCGACGAUCCCUAGCUGGUUUGAGAGGAUGAUCAGCCACACUGGAACUGGGACACGGUCCAGACUCCUACGGGAGGCAGCAGUGGGGAAUAUUGGACAAUGGGCGCAAGCCUGAUCUAGCCAUGCCGCGUGUGUGAAGAAGGCCUUCGGGUUGUAAAGCACUUUCAGUAGGGAGGAAGGAUGUUGUGUUAAUAGCACAGCAUUUUGACGUUACCUACAGAAGAAGCACCGGCUAACUCUGUGCCAGCAGCCGCCGUAAGAC